GAUGAACGCUGGCGGCGUGCCUAAUACAUGCAAGUCGAGCGAACAGACGAGGAGCUUGCUCCUCUGACGUUAGCGGCGGACGGGUGAGUAACACGUGGAUAACCUACCUAUAAGACUGGGAUAACUUCGGGAAACCGGAGCUAAUACCGGAUAAUAUAUUGAACCGCAUGGUUCAAUAGUGAAAGACGGUUUUGCUGUCACUUAUAGAUGGAUCCGCGCCGCAUUAGCUAGUUGGUAAGGUAACGGCUUACCAAGGCUACGAUGCGUAGCCGACCUGAGAGGGUGAUCGGCCACACUGGAAGUGAGACACGGUCCAGACUCCUGCGGGAGGCAGCAGUAGGGAAUCUUCCGCAAUGGGCGAAAGCCUGACGGAGCAACGCCGCGUGAGUGAUGAAGGUCUUCGGAUCGUAAAACUCUGUUAUUAGGGAAGAACAAAUGUGUAAGUAACUAUGCACGUCUUGACGGUACCUAAUCAGAAAGCCACGGCUAACUACGUG
rnacentral:rRNA from 1 species